UCAUGCAACAUGUCUUGGAAAGGCUUAAGUCUGUUGCUGCUAAUGGAUGCUCAGUAAAUAUUUGUUUUAUCACAUGAAUGAAGUUCCUGUGCCAGAUAUGCAAAAAUGGAGAAUAAAAUCCCACCUCACUUUAGAUAGAUCCCCGUGUUGCCAAAAGAACAGGAUUCCAUGAAUUUGACUUUCUGAACUUUAUAGGAAAUGCUGGCCCAACAUCAUCCCAUAAUUUUGUGAGUGGUUCACUAAGAGCAACCAGAUACUCUUGACCUAUACUGACCAUUAUGGUGGUUCUAGCCACAAUUGGUAUUUCAACAAAUUUUAAUUAAAUUGUAUUCCCACAUUUGCCUAGUGGCUACAUUAUUGGACAGUGCAAGUAAAGAACUUUCUAUCAUCACAGAAAAUUGAAUUGGACAGCUUGUUCUAGAUGCCUCGGUUGAAUGGACACAUUUGACAUCUCUGAAGUUUCAGGUGAUAUGUGACCGCAGAAAUGGAGCGAAGUGAAACGUUCAGACAUCUUCCUGCGCACAGUGACGCGCUCAGGGAAAGAGCAGAAGUUCGACUGUUGUGAAGCUGGCUGUGGUUCUGAUGGUGAGACACUUGGUCGCCUUGCCCAGCUGGGCCGCAGCCACUUGCUCUCCCACUUGGCAUGGUAUCUUCUACACAGUCAGUACAUACUGCUAGACUUGCCGAUGAUGGACAGAAUGUUUUCUUUAGAAAUCCAGUCUCAAGAUGCUCUGAAGAGAUAAGGAAAACCACAUUGAAGGAGUAUCUGAGUAGGCCAGAAAUGAAGAAAUGCACUGCCCGUGGAUUCAAUACACUGUCGGACAUGGAUCGAUAUCUCAGAGAGAAAUCCAGAAAAACACUUAAAAGAGACUUCUGCAUACCAGGAAACUAAGGAAAUACCCACAUUGAAACAGGAGCUGACAAGGCCUGGCCUUCUGUAGUCCCUUCCGGUGUACAGAGAAAGUGACAGCUUUCAUUGGUCCUGCAGGGUCCUCUUGGAACUGCAGGGUCUUCUUGGAACUGCUCAUCCCAGCUCGCUCCAGCAAUAAAACCCAGCAUCUCUCUGGAAGGUAGACUAUACAACCACCCUGACUUUUCCAGUUGCUGCUCGACAACCUGG